rnacentral:rRNA from 1 species
CAAUAGCGUAUAUUAAAGUUGUUGCAGUUAAAAAGCUCGUAGUUGGAUUUGUGGCGUACAAAGUGUCCCCUUCACUUGUUGUUGGUGAGAUUCUUUGUUGCCCUCCUUGGGUGGAAUCUGUGUGGCAUUAGGUUGUCGUGCAGGGGAGGCCCAUCUUUUACUGUGAAAAAAUUAGAGUGUUCAAAGCAGGCUUAUGCCGUUGAAUAGAUUAGCAUGGAAUAAUGAGAUAGGACCUUGGUACUAUUUUGUUGGUUUGCGCACCAAGGUAAUGAUUAAUAGGGACAGUUGGGGGUAUUUGUAUUCCAUUGUCAGAGGUGAAAUUCUUGGAUUUCUGGAAGACGAACUACUGCGAAAGCAUUUACCAAGGAUGUUUUCAUUAA